GACGAACGCUGGCGGCGUGCUUAACACAUGCAAGUCGAACGGUGAAGCGCCUUCCUUUUUGGUGGGUGUGGAUGAGUGGCGAACGGGUGAGUAACACGUGAGUAACCUGCCCCCUUCUUCUGGUUAACCGCAUGAAAGUGUGGCUAAUACGGGAUAUUCUGGGUCUGUCGCAUGAUGGGUCUGGGAAAGAUAUUGUUUCGGUGGGGGAUGGGCUCGCGGCCUAUCAGCUUGUUGGUGGGGUGAUGGCCUACCAAGGCGGUGACGGGUAGCCGGCCUGAGAGGGUGGACGGUCACACUGGGACUGAGACACGGCCCAGACUCCUACGGGAGGCAGCAGUGGGGAAUAUUGCACAAUGGGCGCAAGCCUGAUGCAGCGACGCCGCGUGAGGGAUGGAGGCCUGCGGGUUGUGAACCUCUUUCGCCAGUGAAGCAGGCCUGCCUCGUUUGUGGGUGGGUUGACGGUAGCUGGAUAAGAAGCGCCGGCUAACUACGUG
rnacentral:rRNA from 1 species